rnacentral:rRNA from 1 species
UAGAGUUUGAUCCUGGCUCAGAUUGAACGCUGGCGGCAGGCCUAACACAUGCAAGUCGAGCGAAUGAGGGUAGCUUGCUACCUGAUUUAGCGGCGGACGGGUGAGUAAUGUAUAGGGAGCUGCCCGAUAGAGGGGGAUACCAGUUGGAAACGACUGUUAAUACCGCAUAAUGUCUACGGACCAAAGUGUGGGACCUUCGGGCCACAUGCUAUCGGAUGCACCUAUAUGGGAUUAGCUAGUUGGUGGGGUAACGGCUCACCAAGGCGACGAUCCCUAGCUGGUUUGAGAGGAUGAUCAGCCACACUGGAACUGAGACACGGUCCAGACUCCUACGGGAGGCAGCAGUGGGGAAUAUUGGACAAUGGGCGCAAGCCUGAUCCAGCCAUGCCGCGUGUGUGAAGAAGGCCUUCGGGUUGUAAAGCACUUUCAGCGAGGAGGAAGGAUGUUGUGUUAAUAGCACAGCAUUUUGACGUUACUCGCAGAAGAAGCACCGGCUAACUCCG